rnacentral:hammerhead_ribozyme from 1 species
GUCCAGCUGACGAGUCCCAAAUAGGACAAAACGUACGUCCUGAAU